rnacentral:misc_RNA from 1 species
AAGUCGUAACAAGGUUACCGUAGGUGAACCUGCGGUAGGAUCAUUAAACAAGUGUUCCACACUAUAACCCUUGUGAACUGUUUUCUAACCACGUAGUGACUGGAUCGAUAGCUGUCGAGCACACAGAUGAAGGCGAUUGGACGCAUGUGGUGGUCCUUUCGUUCGGUUGCUCCGCUAUCACUCUUUCAAUAGAGAAGAUCUGUUAUUACGUCUCUUAUUCAUCUGUACCCAAACAAACCCUUCUUGUACCAUUAUAUUUGUAUCAAAAACUCGUGCAGUCGAAAGGCUGUAUCGAAUUUUCUUUAUGAAACUAAAGCACAACUCUUAGCAACGGAUAUCUCGGCUCUC